UACGGAGGAUCCUAGCGUUAUCCGGAUUUAUUGGGUUUAAAGGGUGCGUAGGCGGCUUGUUAAGUCAGGGGUGAAAGACGAUGGCUCAACCAUCGCAGUGCCUUUGAUACUGACGAGCUUGAAUGUACUUUAGGUAGGCGGAAUGUGACAAGUAGCGGUGAAAUGCAUAGAUAUGUCACAGAACACCAAUAGCGAAGGCAGCUUACCAAGGUACUAUUGACGCUGAGGCACGAAAGCGUGGGGAUCAAACAGG
rnacentral:rRNA from 1 species